rnacentral:rRNA from 1 species
GCGAACGGGAUUAGAUACCCUGGUAGUCCACGCUGUAAACGAUGUCGAUUUGGAGGUUGUGCCCUUGAGGCGUGGCUUCCGGAGCUAACGCGUUAAAUCGACCGCCUGGGGAGUACGGCCGCAAGGUUAAAACUCAAAUGAAUUGACGGGGGCCCGCACAAGCGGUGGAGCAUGUGGUUUAAUUCGAUGCAACGCGAAGAACCUUACCUACUCUUGACAUCCAGAGAACUUUCCAGAGAUGGAUUGGUGCCUUCGGGAACUCUGAGACAGGUGCUGCAUGGCUGUCGUCAGCUCGUGUUGUGAAAUGUUGGGUUAAGUCCCGCAACGAGCGCAACCCUUAUCCUUUGUUGCCAGCGGUUCGGCCGGGAACUCAAAGGAGACUGCCAGUGAUAAACUGGAGGAAGGUGGGGAUGACGUCAAGUCAUCAUGGCCCUUACGAGUAGGGCUACACACGUGCUACAAUGGCAUAUACAAAGAGAAGCGACCUCGCGAGAGCAAGCGGACCUCAUAAAGUAUGUCGUAGUCCGGAUUGGAGUCUGCAACUCGACUCCAUGAAGUCGGAAUCGCUAGUAAUCGUAGAUCAGAAUGCUACGGUGAAUACGUUCCCGGGCCUUGUACACACCGCCCGUCACACCAUGGGAGUGGGUUGCAAAAGAAGUAGGUAGCUUAACCUUCGGGAGGGCGCUUACCACUUUGUGAUU